CCUACGGGUGGCAGCAGUGAGGAAUAUUGGUCAAUGGGCGGAAGCCUGAACCAGCCAAGUCGCGUGAAGGAUGAAGGUGCUAUGCAUUGUAAACCUCUUUUGCCGAGGAGCAAAAUCACGCACGAGUGCGUGAUGGAGGGUACCUGAAGAAAAAGCAUCGGCUAACUCCGUGCCAGCAGCCGCGGUAAUACGGAGGAUGCGAGCGUUAUCCGGAUUUAUUGGGUUUAAAGGGUGCGUAGGCGGACGCUUAAGUCAGCGGUAAAAGUGCGGGGCUCAACCUCGGCGAGCCGUUGAAACUGGGUGUCUUGAGUGGGCGAGAGGUAUGCGGAAUGCGUGGUGUAGCGGUGAAAUGCAUAGAUAUCACGCAGAACUCCGAUUGCGAAGGCAGCGUACCGGCGGCCAACUGACGCUGAAGCACGAAGGCGUGGGUAUCGAACAGGAUUAGAUACCCUUGUAGUC
rnacentral:rRNA from 1 species